GAUGAACGCUGGCGGCGUGCCUAAUACAUGCAAGUCGAGCGAACGGACGAGAAGCUUGCUUCUCUGAUGUUAGCGGCGGACGGGUGAGUAACACGUGGAUAACCUACCUAUAAGACUGGGAUAACUUCGGGAAACCGGAGCUAAUACCGGAUGAUAUUUUGAACCGCAUGGUUCAAAAGUGAAAGACGGUCUUGCUGUCACUUAUAGAUGGAUCCGCGCUGCAUUAGCUAGUUGGUAAGGUAACGGCUUACCAAGGCAACGAUGCAUAGCCGACCUGAGAGGGUGAUCGGCCACACUGGAACUGAGACACGGUCCAGACUCCUACGGGAGGCAGCAGUAGGGAAUCUUCCGCAAUGGGCGAAAGCCUGACGGAGCAACGCCGCGUGAGUGAUGAAGGUCUUCGGAUCGUAAAACUCUGUUAUUAGUGAAGAACAUAUGUGUAAGUAACUGUGCACAUCGUGACGGUACCUAAUCAGAAAGCCACGGCUAACUACGUG
rnacentral:rRNA from 1 species